CAGCCGCCGCGGUAACACCAGCCCCUCAAGUGGUCAGGAUGAUUAUUGGGCCUAAAGCAUCCGUAGCCUGCUUUGUUAGUUUUCGGUUAAAUCCAUACGCUUAACGUAUGGGCUGCCGGGAAUACUGCAAAGCUAGGGAGUGGGAGAGGUAGACGGUACUCGGUAGGAAGGGGUAAAAUCCUUUGAUCUAUUGAUGACCACCUGUGGCGAAGGCGGUCUACCAGAACACGUCCGACGGUAAGGGAUGAAAGCUGGGGGAGCAAACCGGAUUAGAUACCCGGGUAGUCCCAGCUGUAAACUAUGCAAACUCAGUGAUGCAUUGGCUUGUGGCCAAUGCAGUGCUGCAGGGAAGCCGUUAAGUUUGCCGCCUGGGAAGUACGUACGCAAGUAUGAAACUUAAAGGAAUUGGCGGGGGAGCAC
rnacentral:rRNA from 2 species